GGGGGUGGAUGGGGUACUGGUGUCCUUCCCGGUCUUCAAAACCGAGUGCGGGCUAUGGUGUAGCCUGGGUGGGUUCGAUUCCCACGCACUCCCGCCA
rnacentral:tRNA from 1 species